GAGGGAGGAGGGAAGGAGAGGCUCCCUCAGAUGCUAGGUCUGAGCCUGGCUCCCCAGCACCCUGGAGGCCUGGCUUGCCAGCCCUGGCGCCUGCGCCUGCCCAGCUCCAGCCCCCACCCCAGCCUCUCCCUGACUGGCACCCAAGUUUAUAAGUGUUGCUUUUCUCCUAUUCUACUCAGGCCUGUGAUGGAAAAUCCUCGGGCUGGAAGUGAGCCCCGAAUCAAUAGUCCAUUCCAUUUAACAGGGUGGCUGUCACCAUAACGAGAUAAAAGUGGAUUAGCUUCUGCGCCGCUGCCGCUUCUACAGGGAGCCCAUCUGUUCCCUGCACAGCCGGCCUGGCUCAGAGUGGCCAUGCAACCCAGCCAGACCUGGCCAUGGGGGCCCCCACCAAGGUCUGGGAUGGGAAGGGUGCCAAGACAUCCUGGCCUGGAAACCCUGGAGGCCACACAUAGUGUGUGAACUUAUUUCGAGGAAAAGCCCUCCCACUCCCCUAAGAACUGAAAGAGAGAAGAGGCUCUUGUUGCCAGCAAGAGGAAGGCAGGCUGGACAUCAGGAAGAACUUCCUCCUCAUAAAGUUUUGCCAAAGACUUAAUGGCUGGCCUGUCAAGAGCGGUGACAGAAGCUAUUAUGGAAACAAGAUGGGAAUAUUUUGGAGGCAGCAUCAACAGCACUGCCCAUUGCCAGGGCUCCAAGGACCAGAAGGAGGACAGUCAUACCUCCUGCCUGCCACCCCCAGGAAGGCCAUGUGCUCUGCCAGAGAGGUGCUGGGUCAUUGCGGAUUCAAGCCACUGACUGUGAAUUGAUCGCCUCUGAGGACGUUUUAAUUAACCGCCAGUUCCCAGAGCUGCCCCAUCCUUCCUUUCCCCAACCCCUCCCUGGUCUGCAGCCACUAUCGUCCCCAACACAGAAGCAAGAAGCAACCAGCCAACAGCGCAAUACAGUGAGAGGGACCGCUGGAGGAUUGUAGAUGGGGGACAAGCAGAGGAGAGGUUCCAGGACCCCGGUGGCAGCCUGAUCUGGCAGAUCUAGAUCUCUAAGGGGUCUUGCACUGGUCAUGGACUCAGGGCCUGAGAACCAGACCCAGUUCUGUAGCUGAUUGGUUACAUGAGCUUGGACAAACCCUUGGUUUUGAAAUGCCUCAACUUCUCACUCUAUAAAAUGGGAACAAGGCCAGGCGUGAUGGCUCAUGCCUGAAAUCCCCACAUUUUGGGAGGCCAAGGUAGGAGGAUAGCUUGAGGCCAGGAGUUCGAGACCAGCCUGGGCAACAUGGCAAGACUCCAUCUCAACAAAAAAUUAGCCAGAUGUGGUGGCACACGUCUGUACUCCCAGCUACUCAGGAGGCUGAGGUGGAAGGAUCUCUUGAACCCAGGAGUUCAAAGCUGCAGGAGCUACAAUGACACCACCGAACUCCAGCCUGGGCAACAGAUCAAGACCCUGUCUCUACAAAAUAAACAAAAUAAAAAUAAAGUGAGGUGGGAACAAUAGCAGGAAGUGCCCAUAAAACAUGUGCAAAGAUGCUUUCAGAGCUUCAAUAUCUUGGAAUCACUUUCCACAAUCCUCUGAAGCACCUUCUGCUUAAUCUUAUCUAACUCUCAAAUCAACUCCAAGAAAUGGCAUAAUUAUCUCCAUUUUAAUAGACAGGGAUCAGGAGACAGGGAGGAAGGCUGAAGUGGGCACACAAUACUAAUUUGCAGGAACAGGAUUGGAGCCCACAGUCUUCUCUCCACAACCAGAACCUGCCUUAGUAUGAGGGAUUCUUAUUAGACUAUCAGUCGUGACAGCUACCAUUACCUUAUACCAAAAGUUACACUAACCCAGAGCUUCUCCAACUUGACUGCACACAGGGAACUCCUGAGCAUCUUGUUGAAAUGCAGAUGCAGAUUCAGCAGGUCUGGGAUGGGGACUGAGAUUCUGUGUUUCUAGUAAGUACCAAAGUGAUACUGAUGCUGCUGGUUCAAAGACCACACCUUGAGUAUCAAGGUGCUAAUGCUUUAUCUCAUUUGGUUGGCACAAUAGCCAGUGAGACAGGCAUUAUUAUUAUCAUCCUUGCUUCACAGAGGACACUGAGGCUUAGAGAAAUGGAAUAAGUUCCUCACGAUCACAAUGCUAAGCAGAAGAACCAGGGUUAGGACCCAGGUCACCUGGCCAUAGUCUGCCCACUGGGCCCCAGUGCUAGACCAUCUAUCUCUCCAGCGUUUGCCUAAGAAGUCAAUGACCUGGAAUUAUGUGAGCCACACCAGGAGUGAGGUCCUGAGGAUGGGCAGGAGGGCUCAGAUGAUACAAGAGCAGAGGGCAUUAGGAAAUACAGGUUUCUUCAAGAGAAACCUUGGCCUCAGCAAGGGAGGAAACUGUAGUUUGGAAAGCAGGUGUUGCCAUAUCUAGAAGAGAGAGAUGCUGGUUCUGGAAACUUCUCUCGCUUUGAUGGGAGCGCUCUGAGCUGGGGAUGGUUAGCUUGGAAGAGAAGAAUUUUUAAGUGGACUGGCAAGAGGCCCUGGAGCCAGGAUGAGAAGGAGGAGCUCCAGCCUCGGGGACCGGCAACUGGGAGGACUUGCACUGGCUUCAGGCUCAGGGAAUGACCUCACAAGGGCCACAGAAGAAAAAAAUAUAAAUGUGAGAAAGUGAGCAGGCCUAGAAGGGGUGCAGGGAGAGGAAGACAAGAGCAAGGGUCACGCACUCAGAUGCCAACAGGUGCCAGGUAGGUGUCCAAAGUGAGUGAGGUGGGCCCGUGUCACCAGAGCUGAUUCUUCAAGUGAAGUGGGAAGUUCACACUCAACGGGAAAUCCCCCAUUUUUUCAAUGCUGCUUACCUUUUCCAAAAAAAAUCCACUUUUUUAUAUUGCCCAGUAUUUCAAAAAAUAUAUAUGUAAGAUUGUUCAGACCUAAUAAGAUAUGUCUAUGAGCAAGAUAGGCUCUUGGGUCACCAUUUUGCAACCUCUGGACCACAGCCAGCACAGGCUGGAUUUGGUGGGAAGGGGGAGUUUGUGGGAGUCCUGAGAGAGGAAGGGGACAGGUUUGAGGGACAGCAGCCAUGCAUGAUAGAUAUGAGAGAGAGAGAGAGAGAGAGAGAGAUGAUAGCAAAAAUUAGGGUUUUGCUGGCUGUGCGCAGUGGCUCACGUCUAUAAUCCCAGCACUUUGGGAGGCCAAGGCAGGAGGAUCACUUGAGGUCAAGAGCUCGAGAACAGCCUGGCCAACAUGGCAAAGCCCCAUCUGUACUGAAAAUACAAAAACUAGCCAGGCGUACUGGCACACAACUGUGAUCCCAGCUACUCAGGAGGCUGAGGCAAGAGAAUCACUUGAACCCAGGAGGCAGAGGCUGCAGUGAGCCAAGAUUGUGCCACUGCACUCCAGCCUGGGCAACAGAGCAAGACUCUGAAGACUCCAUCUAAAAAAUAAAAAUAAAAAAGAUGCAAUGCUGCUUCUUAUAAACAGAAACAGAAUCUUCUUUAGUGUUCUUCAGAAGACUUUGAUAAACAUUCCAGGGAUUUCUCCAUGUUUUGGCUCCCAGACUAGUGUGUCUUUUACUGUGACAACGAGCAGAGACUGAAAUGCAGCUGCUCACUCUUAUAUGGGUUCCACAAGAAGGCCAAACCACAGGAGGCUGCAGCCCAGAGGGACCACAAGCUUGCAGUGGAGGCAUUCCCAGGGCACCAAGAAGCAUGUCAGGACCCUGAGCCACCAAAGACCCACAGACACCAAGGGGAAAGGCCAUUAGGACAGAUUCCCAGUGACGGCUGCCCCCAGGCGGGGCAAGCAGGCUCCUCUUUGCAGGUACAGAUCUAAAGCAAAGGAUCUGAGCAGACAGAGUGGCAGGUAUAGGUGGGAAAUUCACCUUAUGGAUAGACAUGCAGGAGGAGGAAGAGGAGGAGAAGAGGGAGAAGGAGCAAGAAGAGGAAGAGCAGAAGGAGGAAGGAGAGCUAAGCGUUGUUGAGCACCAAGCACUACUUGCAUUGUUUCGUUGAAUCACCAUAACGUUUUUAGCACUUGAUCUUAUCCCCACUUUGCAGAUAAGGAAACUAAGUCUUGAGAAGAUAAAAUGGUUUAAAGGCACCUGCUGGAAGUGGCAGAAUAGGACUGUGAUUCCAGGCCUGUCUGGAUCCAGAACCCAGGCUCUUAACCAUUUAUGCGACAGAGGCCCUCAGCCCCUCCCCACCACGUAGAGCCACCUGCACAUCAGGCCACAGACUUGGCGCCCGACGUGCAGGUGGCUAUACUUGGGGGAGAGGGGCUGAGGGCCUAUGUCUCAUAAAUGUUCAUAUGACAAAACUGAGGCCACCAUAACCAGUUUUACUCUAAGCUGCCAGGCCCACCAAGUAGGGCCUAUAACAGCCAAGCACUGAAAAGACCCUGUAGCCUCUGUUAGGUAAGGGCUAGAGUUUGGGGCCCUCUCCUGGUACAGGACUAGGGUGCUUCCCAUACAUGAUGCCCCCAGGGACCUCUUUCCCACAAAGAACAAAACCAUAAAGCUCCAGACAGCCCAGGGGCCUCUUUCACGUGGCCAGGAAAUGCUGGAGAAAAACCCUCACUAGGUCCUCCCAGUCCCCAUCUGUCCUUGUCCCCGGCUCCCACUGUGCCUAUUCCCAGGCUACUGGGCUGCUUGAGCCCACACUGCCUGUAGCCACCCGCCUAGGAGCAUUAAUUGAAAAUUAAUCCGCUCGGUACGUGCCGGCGUGCAAAUCAAAGCUAAGUGUCUCAAUUAGGAAGAGAAAUGGAGUCGGGCACUCUUCUCAGAUGCUGGCUUAUUUAUGGGGAUAAUAUCAUUUUUAAUGAGGGAAGCUACUAAAAGGCACAACAAAUGCAACAUUUAAUAGAAAAAUAUUACAGCAUUCCAUCAGCAGAACACAGCCAGGAGAGUGGGUUCCAGGGAUGCAGGAGCACGCGGGUGUCUCUAUGGUUGUCCAAGCACCUUGUACAAGCAUGUGUGUGCACACGUGUCCCCAUGAGCCCUCGUGUCUGCAUGCACACUGUACACGGACGGCUGCAUGCAUCUCCUUCUCUGGAUAUGUGUGUAUGUGAAUAUUAGUGUCUGGGUCUGGUGUUUGGGGAGUAGUGAAGCUUUCCGCUGUUUUUGCUGCAAAAGAUGAAUUUCCCAUCUGCCGCCUAAAGAACUGUCAUUCUGGGCCCUGGGCCAGCCAAAUAAAAAUCUAAGGUAUUUCCCAAUACUAAGGAGUCCCGGUCCAUUUGGUCCCUGGAGAAGUGCAGGUCUCUGGCACCAGUCUCCAUGGAGGGUCUUCAUGUGCAAAUCAGACCCCUGGGCCCCAGCCUCCUCCACACUCCUCUUGCCACACAUGGGCUAUGGUUGUCUCGGCCCAGCACAUCGCUAACAACUGCAGGACAAGGCCCUCUUGUCAUCAUCCCACUGCCCCAAGCUGGCACUUGGGCUAGCUACCUGCUUUACCCUUGGUCUCAGCUUCAAAAGUCAAGGACUUUACUUCCCAGGCCAAGUCCACGUUCCUGGGCCUAUUUUCCCAUUCCUCCGCCUAGGUGCGGCACAUCCGUAGACCCGGGCUCUGCAGCUCCAACUCAGGAUGGUCUCGGCUCCAGCAACUGUGGAAUGGAGAAGUGAUUCCAUUGGGGUGGCCAGCUCAGAAUCUACACCGGCCUCACCCUAGCCCAUCAGAGAACACUUUUCCAGCCCGCAACACAGCAUCCACAUGUCCGUGCCUUUGCUCCCGUGGGACCCCUACUAGAAAGCACGUCCCAUAUCCUGCCUUCACUCCCAUGCUCAGAGCAGCACCUCACUAACCCAGCACUCCCCAAGGAAGCUUAGGUGACCACCUCACCGUCCUCAGACUCCUCCCGAGACCCUGGUGCCAUGCCUCACCCAUGGGAAUAAUAACAGGGCCUGCCUCACUAAGUGUGCUUGGUGCAUCUGCAUCAGCACAGGGCAUGGCCCAGAGUGGCUCACUGUUAGGACUAGUUUGACCGCGAUUAUGACCAGGUUAUAAUAUCCACCUCUGUUACCUCUUCCCACCCCAUACAAACCCUGGGAGGCACAGAAUGAGGAUUUUUCUCUACGUUUCUCCAAACCUUUUUGAAGGAACCUGAAGCUCAGAGAGAUUGAGACAUUUGCCAGAGGCUGCACAGCAGAUCUCAUUUUGAAUGAGGAGUAACAUCAAAAGAUUUGCAGAGGUUCCCCAGGGCACCAGAUCCCAAGUGUCCUGUACUCAAAACCCGGGCUCUCCCAUCACAGAAGAGGCUGGGGACUCUAAGCCAGGGACUCAGGUGUCACCAGGUUCUGUCUCCCAUCAGCUGGGUGACUCUGGACUUGUUACUUACCCUCUGUGUGUCAGUUUUUUCAUUGAUAAAAUGAAACAGGUGAUAACAGCACCUACUUCAUGGGGAUUUCUUUGUCAGGGUUAAAUGAGCUAAUACUCACAAAGCACUUAGAAUCAAGCCUGGCAUAUGAUAAAUGUUCAGUACGUAUUGAGAUGUCAUUACUAAUAUUAGGCCACCGUACCCCCAGAUCAUUCUCUCCCUGGCCAGGUAGCAAGAAUCAUCCAUCAAACAGUCUGUGAAGGUCCCCAAGGCAGGGCCUUCCCCUCCGUCAAAUCCCCAGCAUGGGAGCCAGUGUUACAUUCCUUAACCCGGAGAGUGCGUAUUCAUACAACGGUCAUCAGUCAUUGAGCUGUGGGCUUAUGUUGUACGCACUUUAUGUUUGUGCAUUUUACUUGAAUUUUUUAAGCAAAUAACAAUAAUCGUCAGGUAAACCAAGUGGAGGUCGGGGUGCAGUGCUCGGCAGAGCACUCACUGGGCAGUGGUAUUGGUGGCUACUGAUUUCAUGUCUGCCUCCUUCACAAGACCUUAUGCACCACGUGGGCAAGGAUGACAUCUGGUUCCUUCCCUGCACUGUCCCCAGCACCUAGAAAAAUGUCUGCGCAUGGCAGCUGAUGAAUUACCAUUGAAAGUGGGAGGGAGUUGAUGGGUACCGAGGCACGAAUGGAGAGGAGAAGAUAUCACACCUUCAGAGUGGCCACCUUGCUGCCCCCAUAGCUGGGGAGAGGUGGGCUCUUUGCUAAGUGGAGAUCUGAGUCCUUGAACCCUCAGUCUCAGGAGUGGAGACCCCCCAGCCCAGACCAAGAGCCUGAUUGGAGGCUCCCCCUCCCUCUCAGACCCCAGUACCUCCAGAUUGACGACAUUUGAAAGUUAUCUUCCUACAAAAGUCACUCUCC
rnacentral:lncRNA from 10 species